rnacentral:rRNA from 1 species
UACGAAGGGGGCUAGCGUUGUUCGGAAUCACUGGGCGUGAAGCGCACGUCGGCGGCUUCUUAAGUCAGGGGUGAAAUCCUGGAGCUCAACUCCAGAACUGCCUUUGAUACUGAGGAGCUUGAGUCCGGGAGAGGUGAGUGGAACUGCGAGUGUAGAGGUGAAAUUCGUAGAUAUUCGCAAGAACACCAGUGGCGAAGGCGGCUCACUGGCCCGGUACUGACGCUGAGGUGCGAAAGCGUGGGGAGCAAACAGG